ensembl:lncRNA
AUGUCCCGCAUUCUCUCUAGCAUGGAUGACCUGUCAAUCAACACCACCCUUUACAAAUCAUACAGCCUAGAUGAGAGUAACUACACAGAGGACAGUCUGACUCAGGGAGACAAACUGAGAGCACUGAAGGGAAAACGACCACCACGAUCAGCUUCCUCCUCCUCAAGGUUAAAUCUGUCGAAGGCCUCUCAUUGCUCCAUCCUGCCACCACCUAAGUCCCCUAAAGGCUCCCUCUCCUUCUCCUCCUCCUCUAAGAAGCUAGGGCGCAGCUCCUCCUCCACCACACAGCUAUGGAGGUGAGUUGGAUCCAAACCAUACCGGUUCACUCUGUGACUCCAUCAUGCAUUAGAAGUAUACAUAGAUGAGAUCCUCAUAGGCAAGAAUCAAUAAAAUCAAACCUUUGUUAAGUAAUUCUCUCUUACUGUCUGCCUACUGUAUGCAAGGCUGCAACUAACCAUUUAUCAUUAUUAAUUACACUGUAUGGCAAAAAAAGUCACCAGCUGGAUUUAACGAAGCAAAGAGGUAAGAGCCUUCCACUGGAAAAUUACUGCAGUGAUUAACAUGUUUCAGCUGGCAACAAGUUGCUUAACCCUAACUGAUGAAGUGAGUCAAUUCUCAUUUCUUAAACUACCAUGUCUGAAGACACAUCCUGUGGUUGUAGAGAAGAUGUCUUCGGUAGAUUCAGUUGGUCAGGUCUAAGUUCAGCAACGUUAUGUGCCCAAACAUGAGGUCAGCUGACUACCUGAAUCAACUAAAUGAGCAGGUUUUUCCAUCAAGGAAUUUUUUUCUACCCUUAUGACAUGGGUAUAUUCCAAAAUGACAUUGCCACGAUUCAUCAUGCUCAAACUGUGAAAGAGUGGUUCAGGGACAAUGAGACAGUCCAGACCUGAACCUCAGUGAGAAUCUUUGGGAUCUGCUGGAGAGGACUUUACACAGCAGCCCGACUCUUCCAUCAUCAAUACAAGAUGGUAAAAGAAUUAAUGAAAAUGAACUCUGGAUGGAAAUGACUGCUAUGACAUUACAUAAGCUUAUCAAAAUGACACCACAGCCAAUGUGUGCUAAAGCUAAAGCUAAAGGCGGUCCAACAAAAUAUUAGACUGUUUGACCACAAUCCAAAGACAUUCAAUUUACUGUCACAAAGGAAAGAAAUUAGGAAAUGUUCAUGUAUAAGAACCUGGAAUCAGAUAAUCUUGACUUCAUUUUCCAUGAAAACAUACUCAGGAUUUUUCAACAUUUCAUUUUUAGUGGUUGACAAUGAAUAAAUUAACUGUAUGCAUACCUCUCUCCUCAGUCCCUUCAGCCUCAGCCUGUUCAGCACCAGGCCGGCCAUCAUUCACUGACUUUACAGCUCAGGCGUUCCUAUUCUGCUCACAAGUCAAGUCGACUGAUGAUGGUAAAGAAAACUGGACAACCACCAUGUUGUCUGGGCCUUAAACAUCUUUAUCAUUUACCUUGAUGAUACUGUAAUGAUUUGUGUGACAGAGUAACUGCACUGUUAAUGUAGAGUCAACUCAGAGUGAAGAAACACUCAGAGAAUGAAACACUGGUCACAACAUUGAUAUUGACUCUAAUCUCAGUGUCUUCAGUAGAAUAUGAGCCAUCGUAUGUCAGAAGAUAAACACACAAAAUCUUAGAAAAAUAAUGUAAUUUCACAUACUGUGUACAUCCCACUAGCAUGAGUACUGAAACACUGAAUUCAACAAAGUUGGAAGGAGUCAUGAUAAAUGUAACACCAUGUUCAUAAGGUGUAGAAGUUUGGUCAGUGGACUGGUCCAGAGUCACAUGACUCUAAACUUAAACUGCACUUUAAUACUAGAACCUUAAAGGAAGAGUGCACCAGGGUUACACGUUAAAGUGUGUUUUCAGGUGUCGCUGCAUAUGUGGAAGAAGUAUAAAACCUUUUGUGGCUCCGGGGGAAGCUGCAUGUUAUAUGAUAAAUAUACUCCAGUGAUGUCACACAGGGGCUCAACUGCACUGUGGGUAAUUUAGUCACAGACAAAAUUGGUGAAGACCACCAUCUUAGUUGAGAUCUUAGUUGAUAGUAAAUCUUAGUUCUGAAUGGAGCACUGAGUAUGAACAGUUUGUAUACAUAUACAGUAGGUCAAUACAUAUUAAAUAUGUUUUUUAAAAAUGAUACAAUAUUUGGGAGAUUUUAUUUACUUUUAGUUGCCAACAAUAGUGGAAGCAAAAAUUGUGAUUCUUAAGGGGAAGUUUCUUCUGUUUGAGUGUGAAGCUCUUAAAGCAUGUGUGACUUUUCUAAACAAAUGACAAUGUGUUUUAUGUUUGUAUUUGAUGCAACAUCAUCUUGCUAUGCAAAUAUUAUCCACCUAUAAAAGUGUACUGUUACUACUAUGAAAGACCUUCAUCUGAUCCUGGAGCAGGUGUGCUGAUGGGGGAAUGUGUUGUCUGAUAACUGGUUGGUUCCAACGGAAGAAAAUAUAUCAUUAAGAUGUGAUAAGGUAGCUGCCUUUAGUGUUGCUGCAGAGAUUGUUAUUUUUAAAAUGAUAAAAUAAAAUUGUAUUGAUGAUGAUCAUGAAUGCUUGAGGUUGUUUAUCAGUGAAUGUGUUUUCAUUUCACAUCCCAGAGGAACUCCAGGAAUACAUCUGGUAGACUUUUUUUUUUUUUUAAAGAUUUUUUUGGCAUAGACACCUUUAUUAAGCAGUAGACAGAUAUGAAAUAUGGGAGAAAGAGGGGGAUGUGACAUGCAGCAAAGGACCUCCGGCCGGAUUCGAACCGGGGUCGGCUACGUUUAUGGCAUGCGCUCUAACCACUCGACCACCUGCGCGCCAUCUGGUAGACUUUUAAAGCAGAUGGUGUUUCUCCUCCUCCUCCUCCUUCUUAAACAUUUUUUUAAAAAACAAAACAGGAUGGAGGUAAGUUGAAGGAUGAAACCCUCCAUGCAGACAAUUUUGUCUGCAUCUGCCACGUUGUCCAGGUAACUGAACAUAUACAAAGAAACUAAUGCUGAAUGUUGUUGUUGUUCAGGGGACAUGAAAACAAGCUAAAAUGUCAGGAGCUUCAGGAGACGUGGAUGUCUCACACUGAACCAUGAAUUGAAGCUGGAUUAAGGAGACGUGUUGUGUGUUAAAAAUACCGAG